rnacentral:rRNA from 1 species
UACGUAGGGCGCAAGCGUUGUCCGGAAUUAUUGGGCGUAAAGAGCUCGUAGGCGGUUUGUCGCGUCUGGUGUGAAAACUCGAGGCUCAACCUCGAGCUUGCAUCGGGUACGGGCAGACUAGAGUGCGGUAGGGGAGACUGGAAUUCCUGGUGUAGCGGUGGAAUGCGCAGAUAUCAGGAGGAACACCGAUGGCGAAGGCAGCUCGCUGGGACGGUACUGACGCUGAGACGCGAAAGCGUGGGGAGCAAACAGG